rnacentral:rRNA from 1 species
UUGGAUUUCUGUUGAGGAUGACCGGUCCGCUCUUUGAGCGCGUAUCUGGUUCAGCCUUGGCAUCCUCUUGGGGAACGCUACUGUGCUUGAUUGCAUGGGGCGGUAUUCAAGACUUUUACUCUGAGGAAAUUAGAGUGUUCACUGCAAGCGUUAGCAAUUGAAUACAUUAGCAUGGAAUAAUAAUAUAGGACCUUGGUACUAUUUUGUUGGUUUCUAGAACUAAGGUAAUGAUUAAUAGGGA